rnacentral:lncRNA from 1 species
GAGUCACUGCCCACAGGCGAGCGAAAAGGCACCAUAUGCAAGGAUGGAGGGAUGCAGAAGGGAUGCAGGGAGGGAGCAGGGAGCGGAGAGGUGGGGGGAAUGGGGGGUGCAGCCCCUGCUCUUUGCACCCUCCUGCCUGGACCCUUUGCAGCCUGUGCCCUGCUUUUUGCAUUAUCCCCUUGCCUCCGUUUAACGCGCAGCGCCGGGCACCCGGCCCUCGCCGUCCCCCCCCCGCGGCUCCACAGCCCUCACCGCCGCGCACCGACCGUCUGGCCCUCGCCCCGCGCUCCCGCGCUGUCCCUGCUCCCGGGCGCCGGCUGGGCCUGCGGCCACCACGGGGGGAGGGAGGGAGGGAGGGGGGGGCCCCAGGGAAAGAGAUUUAAAAUAAACCAAAGCCGGAUCUGGCAACGAGGGGCGCUGAGGCCCGGUACCGGGGAAUAUACAGGUAAUAAUACUGCUCACAUAGAAAAGUAAUAAUCCUUCAUUUGUACAUUUAUACAGUGGCUCUCGGCUCCCCCCCGGCCUCCGCCGGCCCCGGGCGUCCGUGCCCUAUGCCAGGGGGUCGGCCAGCUCGUCGUCCGCUCCCCGCGACAGCAGCUCCCGCUUCUCGUCGGUGCUAGCCAGAGAGUUGCGGCUGUUGUGGGCGCCCAUGUACAGCGUGGCGUAGACGGGGUUGGUGAAGUUGGUGGGCUGCGGAGAGGAGGGUGAGGCGGUCGGACGGGGGCACGGACAUGGCGCUGUGCCCCCCUGCGCGGGGCGCCCUGCCGCGGCCCUGCCGCCCACCUUGUCCGGGUCCAGGGCAAAGUCGGCGUCCAGCAGCUCCCCCACGUCGUCGUCGGGCUCCCCCUCGUACAUCUUGUAGGUGGGGUUCCCGAUCUCCACGUUCAUGGCACCAUUGGUCAUCCGCUGGUGCUGGAAGCCCUUGGCGCUGGGGGGGGGGCAGGGGGCCACGGGAGGGAGACGUUGCCCGUGUCAGGAGAAGGCAUGCAGACACGAACGUCCAGGGUAUGUGCACGCAUGCACACGCAGGGGAAGCCGUGGCAGCCGCGUGGCUGCUGCAGCAUGGCGAGUCUGGCAGGAGGGACGUGUGCUCCAGUGCAGGUCAGCACGGUGGYGCGCGCUCGCAGGGAGGACGUCUGUGCAUGCAGGAGGACGCAGGCAGCCCUGCAGCUGCAUUGCAGCCGGGAAGGCAGGGCUGGUACCUGGCUGGCUGUGCAGUUGGAGACGCAGGUUUUGCCAUCGCUGCCCAAGUAGAAGUUGGUAGGACAAGCACACUUGUGUCCCCCGCCCGGUGACAGGAGGCAGAGGUUGCUGCAGCCUGCGUUGUUGGUCUUGCAGGGAUGGUUGGGAACUGCGGAGGCGGCAGGGAGAGAACUGAGAGUCAGACCAAGCAGAAAAGACCCUCCRAACAGUGCAUGAACCUUUGCUGACUCCCUUCCCACCACGGACAUCCCCCGUCUGUCCCCCACCCAACCUGGCCUCAGACACUGUGGCCAGCCCCUGCUCUCCUGCCUUACUUCCCAGGGCUUCUCCCCAGGGCCAGGGCCACCAGAGACCCUUGUGUCCAGCCCCAGGCCCGCGGCUCACCGUCAGGCUGGCGGUAGGGGUGGUAGAUGUGGAUGUCCAUCGGACGGUGCAGCGUGCUGAUCAGCAGCGUCUUGUUGGCACCCGUUGUCUUGUGAGCUCGGUUGAUGGAUUUGGUCUCCCAGUCGGUCCAGUAGAUGAAAUCCUCAAAGAGGGUGAGCGCRAAGAUGUGCGGGAUGUCCUGGCUCAGGACUGCAAGGGGGAGCAGGCAGCCCACUGAGAGGCUGCCCCAGCCCGUCCCUCCCGCCUCGCCCUCAGCCACACACAGGGCAGCUGCCCUCCAGGGCCAGCUCAGCCAGAAGCAAACAUCCUGCAGWGAGGAGCUGCCAACAGGGCCGGAGACAGAACCCAGGAGUCCUGGCUCCCAGCCCCACCAUCACGCCAAAGAUCACACUCCCGCGGAGGUGCAGAAGGGGACCGGGAGCCCCGGCCCUCUCACCCGUGUGCCUGUUGGAGCCGUCCAGGCUGGCAAACUCAAUGUAGUCCUCCCGYGCGUCGGCCCAAUAGAUUCGGCUGUUGAUGUAGUCCAGGGUGAGGCCGUUGGGCCACGUUAUCUUGGUGUCCACAAUGACGCUGCGGUUGGUGCCAUCCAUGCCAAUCUUCCCAAUCAGGGAGUGGUCGCCCCAGUCUGUCCAGUACAGGUAACUGGGGAGGAGAACAGAACCGCAGAGGGAGGCUGAGUCCAGCCCAAACCACAGCAGCGGCUGGGUU